CAAGGGUUUGGCUGUUCGCCAAUUAAAGCGGUACGCGAGCUGGGUUCAGAACGUCGUGAGACAGUUCGGUCCCUAUCUGUCGUGGGCGUAGGAUAUUUGAAAGGAGCUGUCCCUAGUACGAGAGGACCGGGAUGGACGCACCUCUGGUGCACCAGUUGUCAUGCCAAUGGCACAGCUGGGCAGCUAUGUGCGGAACGGAUAAACGCUGAAGGCAUCUAAGCGUGAAGCCGCCCUUAAGAUAAGAUAUCCCACUGAGUAAUCAGGUAAGACCCCUUGAAGACUACAAGGUUGAUAGGCUCAAAGUGUAAGCGUGGUGACAUGUUUAGCUAGCGAGUACUAAUCGGUCGAGGGCUUGACCAU
rnacentral:rRNA from 1 species